rnacentral:sRNA from 1 species
CUUCCUCGAUCUGCUGCGGGCAGAUGAAGUGGAUGUGGCUGUCCAUGCCGCCAGCCGUGACGAUCUUGCCUUCGCCUGCGAUCGCCUCCGUCGAGGGACCGACGAUGAUGGUGACGCCCGGCUGCGUGUCCGGAUUGCCCGCCUUGCCGAUCCCGACGAUGCGGCCAUUCUUCAGGCCGAUAUCCGCCUUGACGAUGCCGGUAUGGUCAACGAUCAACGCAUUGGUGAUGACCGUAUCGACCGCGCCCGCGGCGCGCGUCACCUGGCUCUGUCCCAUGCCGUCACGGAUG